AGUAGGCGGAGAUAACAGCGCAGGCUCCGACGUCACAAGCCAAAAACUCCGGUUUUGCUGUCUACACGAUAACACUGCAACCGGAGUUUUGAAAAUGUUCGGUUUCAGUGACCUGCUGCAGCGCUUGCGUGAGGACGAACGGCCAAACCGCAUAGAAAAAGCUGCUGUUUUGAAAAUAACCGCGUUCGUGUGGACGGCCAAUGAGCGCGCGCGUUGAGCAUUCAAAUCGCAUUUAAACUGAAGCUGAGGAGGUUACCAUGGUAACAGGGCGUCAACUCACUCAGCUGACAAGUAGCAAGAGGCUGUCUCUCUGCUGUCUUCACGAGUGGUAUAACUUAGUGUCUUCAAAAAGACCGUUAGCAUCAGAGGCUAACAAUUAGAGGAGUGUCAGAAUAAAAUACCUAAAACAGGGGAAGUUACAAAACAAUUUGUAAUGGGAGCUGCUGACAGAGAUGCAGGAAACACAGAGCUGGAGCGGAGCGGAUCUCCUGUCGAAGAACAUCUCCAAAGCGCCAUGAACUGUCUGACUAGGAAAUGCAGAAGAUCCUGACUGCAGCUACAAUCAACAGAGAUCCAGCAGCAGCAGCAGCAGCAGCAGAUACCGGUACAAUCAGUGAUUCAGAUACUGGAGAAUCUAAAGGAGACAGUCAUUAGUCUGUAGGUGUUGUUAUCCUGAUAUUCCACAUCCAGAGGUAGAGAGAGACUGAUGCUGAGAUCAGACACACUGAUGCUGGACAAUAAACUGUGUCCUCUGAACCAGGAGACACUCACAUGACUCACAUUCACAGCUGAACAC